GAUGAAGAACGUAGCAAAAUGCGAUAAGUAAUGUGAAUUGCAGAAUUCAGUGAAUCAUCGAAUCUUUGAACGCACAUUGCGCCCGCUGGUAUUCCGGCGGGCAUGCCUGUUCGAGCGUCAUUUCAACCCUCAAGCCCCCGGUUUGGUGUUGGGGAUCGGCUCUGCCCUUCUGGGCGGUGCCGCCCCCGAAAUACAUUGGCGGUCUCGCUGCAGCCUCCAUUGCGUAGUAGCUAACACCUCGCAACUGGAACGCGGCGCGGCCAUGCCGUAAAACCCCAACUUCUGAAUGUUGACCUCGGAUCAGGUAGGAAUACCCGCUGAACUUAAGCAUAUCAAUAAGCGGAGGA
rnacentral:misc_RNA from 1 species